GACGAACGCUGGCGGCGUGCUUAACACAUGCAUGUCGAACGCUGAAGCCCUUCGGGGUGGAUGAGUGGCGAACGGGUGAGUAACACGUGGGUAAUCUGCCCUGCACUCUGGGAUAAGCCUUGGAAACGGGGUCUAAUACCGGAUAGGACACAUCUCCGCAUGGUGUGUGUGUGGAAAGUUCCGGCGGUGCAGGUUGAGCCCGCGGCCUAUCAGCUUGUUGGUGGGGUGAUGGCCUACCAAGGCGACGACGGGUAGCCGGCCUGAGAGGGUGACCGGCCACACUGGGACUGAGACACGGCCCGGACUCCUACGGGAGGCAGCAGUGGGGAAUCUUGCGCAAUGGGCGAAAGCCUGACGCAGCAACGCCGCGCGGGGGAUGACGGCCUUCGGGUUGUAAACCUCUUUCGACCGGGACGAAGGAUUCGUUUGACGGUACCGGUAGAAGAAGCACCGGCUAACUACGUGCCAGCCGCCGCCGUAA
rnacentral:rRNA from 1 species